AGUCGAGCGGGAUGGAGAGGAGCUUGCUCCUCGAUUCAGCGGCGGACGGGUGAGUAAUGCCUAGGAAUCUGCCUAGUAGUGGGGGACAACGUUUCGAAAGGAACGCUAAUACCGCAUACGUCCUACGGGAGAAAGUGGGGGAUCUUCGGACCUCACGCUAUUAGAUGAGCCUAGGUCGGAUUAGCUAGUUGGUAGGGUAAAGGCCUACCAAGGCGACGAUCCGUAACUGGUCUGAGAGGAUGAUCAGUCACACUGGAACUGAGACACGGUCCAGACUCCUACGGGAGGCAGCAGUGGGGAAUAUUGGACAAUGGGCGAAAGCCUGAUCCAGCCAUGCCGCGUGUGUGAAGAAGGCCUUCGGGUCGUAAAGCACUUUAAGUUGGGAGGAAGGGCUCAUAGCGAAUACCUGUGAGYUUUGACGUUACCAACAGAAUAAGCACCGGCUAACUUCGUGCCAGCAGCCGCGGUAAUACGAAAGGGUGCAAGCGUUAAUCGGAUUACUGGGCGUAAGCGCGCGUAGUGCUGAUAAGUUGGAUGUGAAUCCCGGGCUCAACUGGACUGCAUCAACUGCUGGCUAGAUGCGUAAGUAUGAUCAGUUACGUGAAUGCUAGAUUGGAGAACCCCAUUGC
rnacentral:rRNA from 1 species